rnacentral:rRNA from 1 species
CCUACGGGUGGCAGCAGUGAGGAAUAUUGGUCAAUGGGCGGGAGCCUGAACCAGCCAAGCCGCGUGAGGGAAGAAGGUACAGCGUAUCGUAAACCUCUUUUGUCAGGGAACAAAGGCGGGGACUAGUCCCCGGAUGAGGGUACCUGAAGAAAAAGCAUCGGCUAACUCCGUGCCAGCAGCCGCGGUAAUACGGAGGAUGCGAGCGUUAUCCGGAUUUAUUGGGUUUAAAGGGUGCGUAGGCGGGUUAUCAAGUCAGCGGUAAAAUCGUGGAGCUCAACUCCAUCCAGCCGUUGAAUCUGAUGAUCUUGAGUGGGCGAGAAGUAUGCGGAAUGCGUGGUGUAGCGGUGAAAUGCAUAGAUAUCACGCAGAACUCCGAUUGCGAAGGCAGCAUACCGGCGCCCGACUGACGCUGAAGCACGAAAGCGUGGGUAUCGAACAGGAUUAGAUACCCGGGUAGUC